AAAAGGACAGCAUAURGAAAGUACUGCUUUUAUAAAUGGGCACAACGCUCAGCACGCAGUAUUUCUACACCAACUUUCCCUUAGCACACUGUAAACCUUUGAAGAUCCAAACGGCCAUGUAUCCAAUGUGUACAUCUGUAUGCUUAGGUGUGCAUCUGGAGUCAGCAUUACCCGGUCUUUGAGGUUUUUUAAUCCUAUUCAAACGUGAAGGAGCUUGCAAAUAGUUAUUCUGGGAAUAAAUUCGCACCAAGAGGAAUUAAGRCCCUUGGUUCGUCAAGCAAAACACUUGAGCAUGUGCUGCAGGUCUUUGCUCCUAUAGGAGUUUAGGGCCUGACUGGAAUUUGUGCUCCUUAUUGUAUAUCUGUUUUACUAGUACAGUGUACAGAAAGUUAAGGAAGUGCAAUCUUUGCCCUAGAAAAUUUUGUAUCUGAAGAACUGAGAUCCKUCACAUGCUUAAAUGCGUGCAUAUCUUUGAUGAAGUGGAAUUAGUUGUGACCAGAACGUUAAGCGCAUUGUACCAGAUUUUGGCAGGAUUGUUGAUAGUUUAAAACAACAAAGAUACUUUUGUGUAAAUGUAACUGCUUUGCAAAUAUUUACCACUACACAUUUUCAAGCUAUUUUCAGCUAUUUUGUAGAUUCUGAAUGCAGUUCCUGGCAUUCUUGGUAUGCGGCAGUACMUGUGCUCACAAACUCAUACUUAAGGGAAACAACAGAACCUAUUUUYUGUGGAUUCCACAAGGAUUAGGCAUCGGAGAGAUGUGAGUCCAAGACAAGUUUACUGAAAAUAAGAACUGUGAAGAAGUCAAGUGCAGAAAAUGCCCUUGUGAAAAAAACUGCAGCUUCACAUUUGCUUUGAGUCCUUGAUUCRUAAUGACAGAAGUAACCUGUUCUAUAUUACGGACUAUUUUAAAUUAUGCUUUGAGACCCUUAAUAUUUUUUUACUUCACAUUUUCUUUCACCUUAAGUACAGAUAGCCAUGAGUAUUUGAACAAGCUGUUCCUUUCCUUGUCCAUUUAGGCUGUCAAUGUCAAUUUGYAAUUUACAUAUGAAUUGCUUGAUAUCUUUAGCAGCAGAAAAGUUAACUAUUAACAGUU